CUUUUCGAUAUCGAGUCGAGGGAACCCGC
rnacentral:sRNA from 1 species